CUCCGCCGCCCGUGACGUGAGGAGGGGGCCGGGUCCGCGCGGACCCGGCCCCCUCCUCACAUCGGUCGCGACUA
rnacentral:pre_miRNA from 1 species